GUUGACCCUGCCAGUAGCAUAUGCUUGUCUCUGAGACUAAGCCAUGCAUGUCUAAGUAUAAAUUAAUUUUUACGGUGAAACUGCGGACGGCUCAUUAAAUCAGUUAUAACCUACUUGAUCGUGUGACUUUAUUCGGAUAACCCUAGUAAUUCUAGAGCUAAUACGUGCUAAAAGCCUUAACUUCCAGCAAUGGGGGAAGAGGUGUAUUUAUUAGAAACUAAAACCAAUCAGCUUCGGCUGUUUGAGAUGAUUCAUAAUAACUCGGCAAAUUACGGGAAAAUUCCUGUGAUGAUUCAAACGGAUUUCUGACCUAUCAACUUUAGAUGGCAAAGUAGGGGUUUGCCAUGGUGACAACGGGUGACGGGGAAUUAGGGUUCGAUUCCGGAGAGGGAGCCUGAGAAACGGCUACCACUUCCGAGGAAGGCAGCAGGCGCGCAAAUUACCCAAUGCUAAUUCGGCGAGGUAGUGACAAGAAAUACCAAUGUAGGACCCAACGGGUACUACGUUUGGAAUGAGAACAAUUUAAAAACCUUAACGAGGAACAAUUGGAGGGCAAGUCUGGUGCCAGCAGCCGCGGUAAUUCCAGCUCCAAUAGUGUAUAUUAAAGUUGCUGCGGUUAAAAAGCUCGUAGUUGGAUUACGAAGUGGUGUUUAAAUGUCAUUUUGGUUUGUUUGUCUUUCGGGGCAUUCAGGUCAACUUGGCUUUUACUCACUGUUGUCAUUGUCUUUGCCCAAGGUAUAUGCCUUGUGUGCAUGGCAUUGACCUUCUAUUUUAUGGUAAUGUUGUAUCUUUCGGGGUACAUUCAUUCCAUAUAGUUUACUUUGAAAAAAUUAGGGUGUUUAAAGCAGGCGAAAAGGCUUCGGAAUAUAUUAGCAUGGGAUAAUAGAAUACGAUCUAGGUCGUAAUUUGUUGGUUUCUACGGCUUAGGUAAUGAUUGACAGGGAUAGUUGGGGUCGCUCGUAUUGAGUUGUCAGAGGUGAAAUUCUAGGAUUAACUCAAGACGAACUAAUGCGAAAGCAUUCGGCAAGGAUGUUUUCAUUAAUCAAGAACGAAAGUUGGGGGAUCGAAGAUGAUCAGAUACCGUCGUAGUCUCAACUGUAAACUAUGUCGACCGAGGAUCCGGUAGCGUUACAUGGAUGACCUUCCGGGCACUCUGUGAGAAAUCAUAAUUAUUUGGAUUUCGGGGGGAGUAUGGUCGCAAGGCUGAAACUUAAAGGGAUUGACGGAAGGGCACCACCAGGAGUGGAAUCUGCGGCUUAAUUUGACCCAACACGGGAAAACUUACCAGGUCCGGACACAGUGAGGAUUGACAGAUUGAGAGCUCUUUCUUGAUUUUGUGGGUGGUGGUGCAUGGCCGUUU
rnacentral:rRNA from 1 species